rnacentral:lncRNA from 1 species
GAUGAAUUUAAGCUUUUAAUUUUGCCAUUUGAUUAGGGGCUUUCUUUUUUUUAAUUUUCCUCGGAGUUCAGUAUUUUGGUGAUUUUUCAUUUGACCUAAGAUAUAAGUUGCAAAACAUUUCGAAAUUUAUGGUCUUUCAGUUCUCCAACCUCGUACUUUGUUUGGCCUUUUUUUAAGACUUUUUUAUUUCAGCAUCGAUGGUGAGCCUUAUGUAGACAAAACAGGGGUCUUGCGUAUACAGUUUC